ACCUGCUGCCACACCACCUUGAAUAAGCAUGAUCUCAGAAACUAAGCAACGUUGGGCUUGGUUAGGACUUGGAUGGGAGACUGUCUGGGAAUAUCAAGUGCUGUAGGCAUU
rnacentral:rRNA from 1 species